rfam:TPA: Bos taurus chromosome 7, whole genome shotgun sequence.
UCCCUGGUGGCUCAGAGGUUAAAGCGUCUGACUGCAAUGCGGGAGACCUGGGUUCGAUCCCUGGGUUGGGAA